rnacentral:rRNA from 1 species
AAGGAAUAUUGGUCAAUGGGCGCAAGCCUGAACCAGCCAUGCCGCGUGCAGGAAGACGGCCCUAUGGGUUGUAAACUGCUUUUGUCAGGGAAUAAACCCCCGUACGUGUACGGGGCUGAAGGUACCUGAAGAAUAAGCAUCGGCUAACUCCGUGCCAGCAGCCGCGGUAAUACGGAGGAUGCAAGCGUUAUCCGGAUUCAUUGGGUUUAAAGGGUGCGCAGGCGGAUUGAUAAGUCAGGGGUGAAAUCCCACAGCUCAACUGUGGAACUGCCUUUGAUACUGUUAGUCUUGAGUAUAGUUGAAGUGGGCGGAAUGUGUCAUGUAGCGGUGAAAUGCUUAGAUAUGACGAGGAACUCCGAUUGCGCAGGCAGCUUACCAAGCCGUAACUGACGCUCAAGCACGAAGGCGUGGGGAUCAAACA